CUGCCUCACAGCCCCCAGCCGACCUUCCCCGCUGCGUCUGGCCUGCAGCUGGGCCGUUCCACAGGGCCUUCUGCUGAAGCUCGGCCCUAAAGAUGGUGGGGUGCAUUCAUCUAUGCAGGUGUGCAGCAUGGUUUUAGGUUCGCCAUGGGAAGGGCUGGCUGGCUAGGUGCUGGAAAUGCUGUGAGAGGUAUUUGUGGACAGAAGACAAAGCUCCUUUUUGCUGAAUGAGCAGCCACGGGCUGAGCCCUCUCAAUUAGAAUACAUUAAACCCUGCAUGCCAUGACUUGAGUGAACCACUGAACCCAGGACCAGCACAAACACCUUCAUCUCAGGAGAUGGCAGAAACAUCCAGGGAUAACUAAGAGUUUUUGUCUCCUGAAAUGCAAGUGAAAACUGAUAAGAGUCCAAUGGCAGCAAAGUUAAACGUGCAGGGAGAGUGGAUGCUCAUGGGACAGCAAACAGGCAGGAACAGGUGUGUUCGGUGUGCCAAUGCGCUCUCUUCGGUCACUAGAUGGCAAUAAAGACCCAACGUGGUCUUCCAGGGCAGCGGGGAGGAUAGUAGAGCUCGGCCUGGAUUUCCCCAGGAGACAGAACUGGAAGAUACUAGAGAAGACAAGAACGAGAAGCUUAGCCCUGCUGGGAGUGUUUUGGAUGCAGACUAUUUGCUGGGGUAACUGAGCUCUGAGGUAUUUAAUCUCUCUCAUUGUAAAAUCAAACAAAAAAAAAUCCUCAAA
rnacentral:lncRNA from 1 species